GGGUUGUGAGGUUAAGCGACUAAGCGUACACGGUGGAUGCCCUGGCAGUCAGAGGCGAUGAAGGACGUGCUAAUCUGCGAAAAGCGUCGGUAAGGUGAUAUGAACCGUUAUAACCGGCGAUGUCCGAAUGGGGAAACCCAGUGCAAUUCGUUGCACUAUCGUUAACUGAAUACAUAGGUUAACGAGGCGAACCGGGGGAACUGAAACAUCUAAGUACCCCGAGGAAAAGAAAUCAACCGAGAUUCCCCCAGUAGCGGCGAGCGAACGGGGAGCAGCCCAGAGUCUGAAUCAGCUUGUGUGUUAGUGGAACGGUCUGGAAAGUCCGACGGUACAGGGUGAUAGUCCCGUACACCAAAAUGCACAGGUUGUGAACUCGAAGAGUAGGGCGGGACACGUGGUAUCCUGUCUGAAUAUGGGGGGACCAUCCUCCAAGGCUAAAUACUCCUGACUGACCGAUAGUGAACCAGUACCGUGAGGGAAAGGCGAAAAGAACCCCGGCGAGGGGAGUGAAAAAGAACCUGAAACCGUGUACGUACAAGCAGUGGGAGCACCUUCGGGUGUGACUGCGUACCUUUUGUAUAAUGGGUCAGCGACUUAUAUUCUGUAGCAAGGUUAACCGUAUAGGGGAGCCGCAGGGAAACCGAGUCUUAACUGGGCGUUAAGUUGCAGGGUAUAGACCCGAAACCCGGUGAUCUAGCCAUGGGCAGGUUGAAGGUUGGGUAACACUAACUGGAGGACCGAACCGACUAAUGUUGAAAAAUUAGCGGAUGACUUGUGGCUGGGGGUGAAAGGCCAAUCAAACCGGGAGAUAGCUGGUUCUCCCCGAAAGCUAUUUAGGUAGCGCCUCGUGAAUUCAUCUUCGGGGGUAGAGCACUGUUUCGGCUAGGGGGUCAUCCCGACUUACCAACCCGAUGCAAACUACGAAUACCGAAGAAUGUUAUCACGGGAGACACACGGCGGGUGCUAACGUCCGUCGUGAAGAGGGAAACAACCCAGACCGCCAGCUAAGGUCCCAAAGUCAUGGUUAAGUGGGAAACGAUGUGGGAAGGCACAGACAGCCAGGAUGUUGGCUUAGAAGCAGCCAUCAUUUAAAGAAAGCGUAAUAGCUCACUGGUCGAGUCGGCCUGCGCGGAAGAUGUAACGGGGCUAAACCAUGCACCGAAGCUGCGGCAGCGACACGAUGUGUUGUUGGGUAGGGGAGCGUUCUGUAAGCCUGCGAAGGUGUGCUGUGAGGCAUGCUGGAGGUAUCAGAAGUGCGAAUGCUGACAUAAGUAACGAUAAAGCGGGUGAAAAGCCCGCUCGCCGGAAGACCAAGGGUUCCUGUCCAACGUUAAUCGGGGCAGGGUGAGUCGACCCCUAAGGCGAGGCCGAAAGGCGUAGUCGAUGGGAAACAGGUUAAUAUUCCUGUACUUGGUGUUACUGCGAAGGGGGGACGGAGAAGGCUAUGUUAGCCGGGCGACGGUUGUCCCGGUUUAAGCAUGUAGGCUGNNNNNNNNNNNNNNNNNNNNNNNNNNNNNNNNNNNNNNNNNNNNNNNNNNNNNNNNNNNNNNNNNNNNNNNNNNNNNNNNNNNNNNNNNNNNNNNNNNNNUCCAGGCAAAUCCGGAUAAUCAAGGCUGAGGUGUGAUGACGAGGCACUACGGUGCUGAAGUAACAAAUGCCCUGCUUCCAGGAAAAGCCUCUAAGCAUCAGGUAACAUCAAAUCGUACCCCAAACCGACACAGGUGGUCAGGUAGAGAAUACCAAGGCGCUUGAGAGAACUCGGGUGAAGGAACUAGGCAAAAUGGUGCCGUAACUUCGGGAGAAGGCACGCUGGUGUGUAGGUGAAGUCCCUGCGGAUGGAGCUGAGACCAGUCGAAGAUACCAGCUGGCUGCAACUGUUUAUUAAAAACACAGCACUGUGCAAACACGAAAGUGGACGUAUACGGUGUGACGCCUGCCCGGUGCCGGAAGGUUAAUUGAUGGGGUUAUCCGUAAGGAGAAGCUCUUGAUCGAAGCCCCGGUAAACGGCGGCCGUAACUAUAACGGUCCUAAGGUAGCGAAAUUCCUUGUCGGGUAAGUUCCGACCUGCACGAAUGGCGUAAUGAUGGCCAGGCUGUCUCCACCCGAGACUCAGUGAAAUUGAACUCGCUGUGAAGAUGCAGUGUACCCGCGGCAAGACGGAAAGACCCCGUGAACCUUUACUAUAGCUUGACACUGAACAUUGAGCCUUGAUGUGUAGGAUAGGUGGGAGGCUUUGAAGCGUGGACGCCAGUCUGCGUGGAGCCAACCUUGAAAUACCACCCUUUAAUGUUUGAUGUUCUAACGUUGGCCCCUGACCGGGGUUGCGGACAGUGUCUGGUGGGUAGUUUGACUGGGGCGGUCUCCUCCCAAAGCGUAACGGAGGAGCACGAAGGUUAGCUAAUCCUGGUCGGACAUCAGGAGGUUAGUGCAAUGGCAUAAGCUAGCUUGACUGCGAGCGUGACGGCGCGAGCAGGUGCGAAAGCAGGUCAUAGUGAUCCGGUGGUUCUGAAUGGAAGGGCCAUCGCUCAACGGAUAAAAGGUACUCCGGGGAUAACAGGCUGAUACCGCCCAAGAGUUCAUAUCGACGGCGGUGUUUGGCACCUCGAUGUCGGCUCAUCACAUCCUGGGGCUGAAGUAGGUCCCAAGGGUAUGGCUGUUCGCCAUUUAAAGUGGUACGCGAGCUGGGUUUAGAACGUCGUGAGACAGUUCGGUCCCUAUCUGCCGUGGGCGCUGGAGAAUUGAGGGGGGCUGCUCCUAGUACGAGAGGACCGGAGUGGACGCAUCACUGGUGUUCGGGUUGUCAUGCCAAUGGCACUGCCCGGUAGCUAAAUGCGGAAGAGAUAAGUGCUGAAAGCAUCUAAGCACGAAACUUGCCCCGAGAUGAGUUCUCCCUGAGACU
rnacentral:rRNA from 1 species